rnacentral:rRNA from 1 species
UACGAGGGGGGCAAGCGUUGUUCGGAUUUACUGGGCGUAAAGCGCACGUAGGCGGGUCAUUAAGUCGGGGGUGAAAUCCUGGAGCUCAACUCCAGAACUGCCUCCGAAACUGAUGAUCUUGAGGUCGGGAGAGGUGAGUGGAACUGCGAGUGUAGAGGUGAAAUUCGUAGAUAUUCGCAAGAACACCAGUGGCGAAGGCGGCUCACUGGCCCGAUACUGACGCUGAGGUGCGAAAGCGUGGGGAGCAAACAGG